CUGCUUUUUACAAAAAUUUGCAUUUCUCAUAAACACGGUCUCACAUAUAUAUUUUGUAUCAUAAUCUUUAUAUUUUACAUGAACGCAUUAGAGUUAAAGGUCCAAAAGGCAAUUACUUUGUUGUUCCACUAUGGCAGAGUUAUUUUUAAACACUGAACACAUUUCAGUAACCUGUUUACGAGUCACUCUCCCGAGAGCUUUUAAAACCUUAGAUACUAGAGUUUUGUUAUCAACUGUCAAAUUACUUCAUUCAUAAUAACGGCUACUUUGUAGUCACUAAGAAUUAUAACUGCAGCGGUAACAUUAGUUACAUUAAAAACAUUCAUUGAUGAUGCAAAUUUGUUUUAAAAUCAAUUAUGUCAUUUAUUUGUCAGAAUCUUUGCCAGAACACCAAAACCACUAUCAGCAUAAGUUGAUUUUGUUUUGCCAAAUCCAUCAAAUACCACAUCUAUAUUUGUAUCUUAAAAAGUCUGUUUGUUGUAUAAAACCUGAAACGAAAUAAAAUGUUGAAGCACA
rnacentral:lncRNA from 1 species